rnacentral:rRNA from 1 species
UACGUAGGUGGCAGGCGUUGUCCGGAUUUACUGGGCGUAAAGAGCGCGCAGGCGGUCGUUCAAGUCGCGUGUGAAAGCCCCCGGCUCAACUGGGGAGGGUCACGCGAUACUGAUCGACUGGAAGGCAGGAGAGGGUAGUGGAAUUCCCGGUGUAGUGGUGAAAUGCGUAGAUAUCGGGAGGAACACCAGUGGCGAAGGCGACUACCUGGCCUGUUCUUGACGCUGAGGCGCGAAAGCUAGGGGAGCAAACGGG